rnacentral:sRNA from 1 species
GGCCUCUUUGCUUAGAACUUUAGUCAGAUAAAGUAAUUCUUUUGACAUAGAAUUUAUGAAAAGUAUGCAUUUUCUUUUGAAAUUUUGACACCUACCAGUAGUAAUUUUCCUGAUAUGGAAUUCUCGACAUGAUUUUGUGAAUGAAAAUAGUUCAGGUUAAAUUUUUGCAAUUUCCUUAUGAUAAAGUUUGAGCAUGUAAUACAAGGAACUCUUGGUCAAAGUACUUUAUAUUGAUGCAGUUCGUGUAAAUGCAGUGAAAUUUAUGUAUUUUAAAAAUUAUGAAAUUUGCAAAAGGUACUUACAUGUAUUUGCUUGUCAUACAAGAACAUGUUGACUGAAGAACAUAAAGUGUAACUAACGUUUGUUAUUCUGAUUUGAAUUUAAGUAACAGAGAUUGCUUCAUUGGUAUGACCAUAUGUGAAUUGUUAAUUUCAACAACGUUUUUAAGUGCACUGAUUAUGGAAUUUGCUUUAAUUAUGAUUAAGUGCUUUGGCAUAGUUCAAUGCAUAAACAGUGGCUACACUCAUGGUGUUUAUUUUAGACAAGCCAUGCUUUCUAUGAUAACAUGUGAAGUAUAUUGAUGUAAACUUUCUAAAAAAAAUGUCUAAUUCUUUUGUAAUAUGUAUCAUGACUUAAGGUAGGCUUGGGCUUUAGCUUUUUGAACUUAUGUGCAACAUGUACAAGAUUUGUGUUCUAUGUAAAACUUUCAUUAUUAAUUGCGGUGACAAAAUUUAUUGCCGUUUGAUGUAAUAAGUUGUGUGACAUAAUGCUGACACCGUGGUUUGUGACUCAUAAGGCACCAGUAUCAUCGUAUGGUAAAUGUUAAGGAACUUGAUUUUUUUGUUAUGAUUUGUGUUUGCAUUGUUACUGUUAUAUUUUGUAUGUACUUGUGGUACUUCACCAAGCGGUGGGUGUCUUUACAGAAUAGGAGAAAUAUUCUACCAAGAAUAAAACAGUAUAAAUAC